UACGUAGGGUGCGAGCGUUGUCCGGAAUUACUGGGCGUAAAGAGCUCGUAGGUGGUUUGUCGCGUUGUCCGUGAAAACUCACAGCUCAACUGUGGGCGUGCGGGCGAUACGGGCAGACUGGAGUACUGCAGGGGAGACUGGAAUUCCUGGUGUAGCGGUGGAAUGCGCAGAUAUCAGGAGGAACACCGGUGGCGAAGGCGGAUCUCUGGGCCAUUACUGACGCUGAGGAGCGAAAGCAUGGGGAGCGAACAGG
rnacentral:rRNA from 1 species